GGUACGUGGAAAUAUCCGUUUUACGGAACCGAAUUAUGUGCUAAAAAACUGUGCCACGCUUUUUAGAUUUUUUUUUAACUAGCGUUGGGAAGACGUGUUUAGUUAAAAAACUUUUUAAAAUUUGAUAUCAAUAUAGAUUAUUUUUAGAAACUAGAAUAGUUAAUCUUUAUUACUGUGAGCUUCAUUAUUUUACUGGAUGGCUUUUUUAUUGAGUUUUUUGAUGUCUAAAACUUUGUUGUACUUUGGGCAUGAAAUUAAUGUCGAAGGUAUGCUCUUUUUUUUUUCUAUACUAUUCUUUUUUUUAAGUUUUUCAUUUAUCUAUGCACCUGGAAAAUUUCAUUGAAAAAAAAGUUGUAGCAGGGUGUCUAUUUUUUGUCGCACUUUUCCUACCUAAUUUUCAAUUUUGCUGAAGUGGUCGCGGGAGACAGAGGGGUUAAAUAAACAUUGUUUACAUUUGAUUCUGAUUAAAUAAAAUUUCAGUUUUUUUUUAGAUUAAAUAAAAUGGAAAAUAAAGAUGUUGAUAAAGCAACACUUACUUCAUUAAUUGUAUCAUCUAUAGCUGCUCUAUCUGUACCACCAUUAUCUGUUUCAGCUGUUCCACCUUCCACUGAUCUAACUGGUAAGGUUGUAUAUUUUUGCUUUGCAAUAUGAUUUGCAAUAAGAUUGUGUAAAAUGCUUUUUCAUUUCUUUUUUAGUGCCAUCAUCAUCUACUCCAACUGUGCCAUCAUCUGCUCUAACUGGUUAGUAUAUAUGUUUCAACUCUGCAAUAUGAUUUUAAAUAAAAUUUAUUUUUAAGAUUGUGUUAAAUGUUUCUUGAUUUUGAUUGAUGUAUAAUGCUUUGUUAUUUUUAUUUUUUAUUUUUUAUUUUUUAGGUUGGGGGAGGGGUUUACACGCCCCUUCCGUACAUCAAUGCAAGUUGUGUAUUUGAAUUCCUGUAAAAUAUAGUUUUAUUAUGUAUACUAUUGAUUUCAAUGUAGUAUAGAUAA
rnacentral:lncRNA from 1 species